CCUACGGGGGGCAGCAGUAGGGAAUAUUGCUCAAUGGGGGAAACCCUGAAGCAGCAACGCCGCGUGGAGGAUGAAGGUUUUCGGAUUGUAAACUCCUUUUGUUAGAGAAGAUAAUGACGGUAUCUAACGAAUAAGCACCGGCUAACUCCGUGCCAGCAGCCGCGGUAAUACGGAGGGUGCAAGCGUUACUCGGAAUCACUGGGCGUAAAGAGCGCGUAGGCGGGAUAGCAAGUCAGAUGUGAAAUCCUAUGGCUUAACCAUAGAACUGCAUUUGAAACUGUUAUUCUAGAGUAUGGGAGAGGUAGGUGGAAUUCUGGGUGGAGGGGUAAAAGCAGGAGAGAUAAAGAGGAAUACUCAUUGCGAAGGCGACCUAAUAGAACAUAACUGA
rnacentral:rRNA from 1 species